AUGAACCGUUAUAACCGGCGAUACCCGAAUGGGGAAACCCAGUGUGAUUCGUCACACUAUCAUUAACUGAAUCCAUAGGUUAAUGAGGCGAACCGGGGGAACUGAAACAUCUAAGUACCCCGAGGAAAAGAAAUCAACCGAGAUUCCCCCAGUAGCGGCGAGCGAACGGGGAGGAGCCCAGAGCCUGAAUCAGCAUGUGUGUUAGUGGAAGCGUCUGGAAAGGCGCGCGAUACAGGGUGACAGCCCCGUACACAAAAGCGCAUGUGCUGUGAGCUCGAUGAGUAGGGCGGGACACGUGGUAUCCUGUCUGAAUAUGGGGGGACCAUC
rnacentral:rRNA from 1 species